rnacentral:rRNA from 1 species
CCUACGGGAGGCAGCAGUAGGGAAUCUUCCACAAUGGACGAAAGUCUGAUGGAGCAACGCCGCGUGAGUGAUGAAGGUUUUCGGAUCGUAAAACUCUGUUGUAAGGGAAGAACAAGUACGAGAGGGAAUGCUCGUACCUUGACGGUACCUUGCGAGAAAGCCACGGCUAACUACGUGCCAGCAGCCGCGGUAAUACGUAGGUGGCAAGCGUUGUCCGGAAUUAUUGGGCGUAAAGCGCGCGCAGGCGGCCUUUUAAGUCUGAUGUGAAAGCCCCCGGCUCAACCGGGGAGGGUCAUUGGAAACUGGAAGGCUUGAGUACAGAAGAGAAGAGUGGAAUUCCAUGUGUAGCGGUGAAAUGCGUAGAGAUGUGGAGGAACACCAGUGGCGAAGGCGACUCUUUGGUCUGUAACUGACGCUGAGGCGCGAAAGCGUGGGGAGCAAACAGGAUUAGAUACCCUGGUAGUCCACGCCGUAAACGAUGAGUGCUAGGUGUUGGGGGGUUUCCGCCCCUCAGUGCUGAAGCUAACGCAUUAAGCACUCCGCCUGGGGGAGGACGGCCGCGAGCGNGAACGUACGAAGAGUAGUAGACGCGNGAGAGCGACGACGACGACGACGGAGGAGGAG